GACGAACGCUGGCGGCGUGCUUAACACAUGCAAGUCGAACGAAGUGGCGAACGGGUGAGUAACGCGUAAUCAACCUGCCCUUCAGAGGGGGACAACAGUUGGAAACGACUGCUAAUACCGCAUAAUGAAGGAGGGGAGUGCGGCGGAUUAGCUCGUGGGAGGGGUAACGGCCCACCAAGGCGAUGAUCAGUAGCCUGUCUGAGAGGAUGAACGGCCACAUUGGGACUGAGACACGGCCCAGACUCCUACGGGAGGCAGCAGUGGGGAAUCUUCCGCAAUGGACGAAAGUCUGACGGAGCAACGCCGCGUGAGUGAUGACGGCCUUCGGGUUGUAAAGCUCUGUUAAUCGGGACGCGGUACCGGAAUAGAAAGCCACGGCUAACUACGUGCCAGCAGCCGCGGUAAUUC
rnacentral:rRNA from 1 species